GAUGAACGCUAGCGGCAGGCUUAACACAUGCAAGUCGAGGGGCAGCAUGAGACGGAGAUUCGUCGAAGUCUUGAUGGCGACCGGCGCAAGGGUGCGUAACGCGUGAGCAACUUGCCCGUUUCAGGGGGAUAACCGGUGGAAACGCCGACUAAUACCCCAUAGUAUAACGAGAAGGCAUCUUUUGUAUUAAAGAAUUUCGGAAACGGAUAGGCUCGCGUGACAUUAGCUAGAUGGCGGGUAACGGCCACCAUGGCUACGAUGCCUAGGGGUUCUGAGAGGAAGGUCCCCCANACUGGAACUGAGACACGGUCCAGACUCCUACGGGAGGCAGCAGUGAGGAAUAUUCGGGUCAAAUGGGUCUGACGACUGAACCAGCCAUGCCGCGUGAAAGGUC
rnacentral:rRNA from 1 species